CCACUAAUAAACCACCAGUAAUCUGCAGGUAACCACGGCAGACCAAUGGGGCUGUGCACCUGUCUGCCCAGGCCCACAAGGCCUGCCUCUCCCUCCUGAGGCCCAGCCCAGGUCUGGUCCUGUCCCCCGAGUCUAAUCUGCCCCCAACCUGCCCCUGGAGACGUCUGUCCAACAGCGGAGGGGUCUUUAAGGACCCCCUCAGUGGUUGGUGUCUUUCUGAACAUCCCCGUUCCAGCGCUCACUGUCCACGCAGAUGAUGGGACCUGAUCCCACACCCUCCAUCAGAACGUCCUAGAGUGGCUUUUAACCCAGAACUCCCAGGAAGAACUACCAAGGAGGAGAGCAAGCUUCAGGAUGAGAUCAGCGUCUGCACGCAAGUGCGGCAAAGGAGUCCCUUUGGAUGUGUAAACAACACAAGUCAGGUGUGACGGCAUAACUUUGAGCCACUCCCUACCUGCGUGGCUGAGGCAAGAGGAUCACUUGAGCUGAGACAUUUUAGGCCAACAUGGGCAACACAGUGGGACCCUGGGCCCUAAAGAAGCAAAGAAAAGAGGGACAAGUUCCCCUCCGAGAUGGCUCAGAGGUUAAGAGCACUGGCUGCUCUUCCAGAGGUCAUGAGUUCAAUUCCCAGCAUC